UAUAAAUCGGGAAAUUCAAUAAAAUUCACAUCAUUGUAUUCAGUAAGGGUUACUCUUUCUAUUGGUACCUUAAAACAUAAAAAAGCCCCUGAAACCGACGAGUAAUCGUUGUUUGAAAAUGGGGUAUUUUGCUUUUGUUGUCGCCAAUCGCGGGAAGAGGACUCUACAGGAAUUUAAUUCAGGAAAUAUGGCGCGAACGCGACGUAAACAAGCC